rnacentral:rRNA from 1 species
AGUGAACGCUGGCGGUAGGCCUAACACAUGCAAGUCGAACGGCAGCACAGUAAGAGCUUGCUCUUACGGGUGGCGAGUGGCGGACGGGUGAGGAAUACAUCGGAAUCUACUUUUUCGUGGGGGAUAACGUAGGGAAACUUACGCUAAUACCGCAUACGACCUACGGGUGAAAGCAGGGGAUCUUCGGACCUUGCGCGAUUGAAUGAGCCGAUGUCGGAUUAGCUAGUUGGCGGGGUAAAGGCCCACCAAGGCGACGAUCCGUAGCUGGUCUGAGAGGAUGAUCAGCCAAACUGGAACUGAGACACGGUCCAGACUCCUACGGGAGGCAGCAGUGGGGAAUAUUGGACAAUGGGCGCAAGCCUAAUCCAGCCAUACCGCGUGGGUGAAGAAGGCCCUCGGGUUGUAAAGCCCUUUUGUUGGGAAAGAAAAGCAGAAGGUUAAUACCCCGCUGUUCUGACGGUACCCAAAGAAUAAGCACCGGCUAACUUCGUG